AACGCGAAGAACCUUACCUGGGUUUGAAAUACAGAGGACGUUGUCAGAGAUGGCAAUUCUCGAAAGGGUCUCUGUACAGGUGCUGCAUGGCUGUCGUCAGCUCGUGCCGUGAGGUGUUGGGUUAAGUCCCGCAACGAGCGCAACCCUUAUUACCAGUUGCCAUCAUUCAGUUGGGCACUCCGGUGAGACCGCCUCGGAUAACGGGGAGGAAGGCGGGGAUGACGUCAAGUCCUCAUGGCCUUUAUGUCCAGGGCUACACACGUGCUACAAUGGCCGGUACAAACCGUCGCAAACCCGCGAGGGGGAGCUAAUCGGAAAAAGCCGGCCUCAGUUCGGAUUGCAGUCUGCAACUCGACUGCAUGAAGCUGGAAUCGCUAGUAAUCGCGGAUCAGAACGCCGCGGUGAAUACGUUCCCGGGCCUUGUACACACCGAGACGAC
rnacentral:rRNA from 1 species